UACAGGGGGUGCAAACGUUGCUCGGAAUCAUUGGGCGUAAAGCGCACGUAGGCGGUCUGUUAUGUCGGAUGUGAAAGCCCUUGGCUCAACUGAGGAAGUGCAUCCGAAACUGGCAGGCUAGAGUACUAAAGAGGAUCGCGGAAUUCCCGGUGUAGAGGUGAAAUGCGUAGAUAUCGGAAGGAACAUCAGUGGCGAAAGCGACUUCCUGGACCAAUACUGACGCUCAUGUGCGAAAGCGUGGGGAGCAAACAGG
rnacentral:rRNA from 1 species